GACGAACGCUGGCGGCGUGCUUAACACAUGCAAGUCGAGCGGUAAGGCCCUUUCGGGGGUACACGAGCGGCGAACGGGUGAGUAACACGUGGGUGACCUGCCCUCAGCUCUGGGAUAAGCCUGGGAAACUGGGUCUAAUACCGGAUAUGACUCCAUGACGCAUGUUGUGGGGUGGAAAGCCUUGUGCGGCUGAGGAUGGGCCCGCGGCCUAUCAGCUUGUUGGUGGGGGUGANGGCCUACCAAGGCGACGACGGGUAGCCGGCCUGAGAGGGCGACCGGCCACACUGGGACUGAGACACGGCCCAGACUCCUACGGGAGGCAGCAGUGGGGAAUCUUGCGCAAUGGGCGAAAGCCUGACGCAGCGACGCCGCGUGAGGGAUGACGGCCU
rnacentral:rRNA from 1 species